rnacentral:rRNA from 1 species
UGGGGAAUUUUGCGCAAUGGGGGAAACCCUGACGCAGCAACGCCGCGUGCGGGACGACGGCCCUCGGGUUGUAAACCGCUUUCAGUGGGGACGACGAUGACGGUACCCACAGAAGAAGCUCCGGCUAACUACGUGCC